AACAACAACAACAACAACAAUAGUUCGAGUAACGGUGUAACAAGAACAAAAGUAAAACAUAAACAAGGAUUAACACGAGCAAGGAUGUGUGUGCAAUGCUUAACCAAAAAAAAAAUACAAAAAUCCCAAUCAGAAUUACGAUAAAUAGUCAACGGAGAACGGUCAGCAAAGAGCAACAAGAAAAACAACUGUGCAAUUUAAAAAAAAAUUCAAGAAAAAAUAUUUUAUGAAAAUCUUGCGAAAAUAAUGAAAAGUUUGAUGAAAAGUUGCUCAACAUGAGCGACAAAAAAGGCCGAAACACCAACAACACCAACAACAACAAAAGCACUUAUAGCUGCUAUCCAACAUUAACAACAACAACAAGAAAAACUCCAGCAAACGAUUAAAAAAAAAAUUAACAAGAAAGUGCAAUGCAAGAGAUGCGUCUUAAAUCAAAAAUACAAAAAAAUCCAGCCAAAAUAAAUUUAAAAUUUUAAUAAAAAA